AAUGAACGUUGGCGGCGUGGAUUAGGCAUGCAAGUCGAGCGAGAAUUCCCCGCAAGGGGGAGGACAGCGGCGAAAGGGAGAGAACAGCGUAGUUACCUACCCUCAGGACUGGGAUAGCUCCGGGAAACCGGAGGUAAUACCAGAUGACGUCUUUGGACCAAAGGUGUGAUUCCGCCUGAGGAGGGGACUGCGUCCUAUUAGCUAGUUGGCGAGGUAACGGCUCACCAAGGCAAUGAUGGGUACGGGGUGUGAGAGCAUGCCCCCGCUCACUGGGACUGAGACACUGCCCAGACACCUACGGGUGGCUGCAGUCGAGGAUCUUCGGCAAUGGGCGCAAGCCUGACCGAGCGACGCCGCGUGCGGGAUGAAGGCCUUCGGGUUGUAAACCGCCGUCGGAGUGGAGGAAAUUCCAAGGGGUUCUCCCUUUGGAUUGACUAAUACUCAGAGGAAGGACGGGCUAAGUUCGUGCCAGCCGCCGCCGUAAAAC
rnacentral:rRNA from 1 species